rnacentral:rRNA from 1 species
GACGAACGCUGGCGGCGUGCUUAACACAUGCAAGUCGAACGGAAAGGCCCUGCUUUUGUGGGGUGCUCGAGUGGCGAACGGGUGAGUAACACGUGAGUAACCUGCCCUUGACUUUGGGAUAACUUCAGGAAACUGGGGCUAAUACCGGAUAGGAGCUCCUGCUGCAUGGUGGGGGUUGGAAAGUUUCGGCGGUUGGGGAUGGACUCGCGGCUUAUCAGCUUGUUGGUGGGGUAGUGGCUUACCAAGGCUUUGACGGGUAGCCGGCCUGAGAGGGUGACCGGCCGCAUUGGGACUGAGAUACGGCCCAGACUCCUACGGGAGGCAGCAGUGGGGAAUAUUGCACAAUGGGCGGAAGCCUGAUGCAGCAACGCCGCGUGCGGGAUGACGGCCUUCGGGUUGUAAACCGCUUUCGCCUGUGACGAAGCGUGAGUGACGGUAAUGGGUAAAGAAGCACCGGCUAACUGCGUG